rnacentral:rRNA from 1 species
AUACGGAGGAUCCGAGCGUUAUCCGGAUUUAUUGGGUUUAAAGGGAGCGUAGGCGGACGCUCAAGUCAGUUGUGAAAGUUUGCGGCUCAACCGUAAAAUUGCAGUUGAUACUGGGUGUCUUGAGUACAGUAGAGGCAGGCGGAAUUCGUGGUGUAGCGGUGAAAUGCUUAGAUAUCACGAAGAACUCCGAUUGCGAAGGCAGCCUGCUGGACUGUAACUGACGCUGAUGCUCGAAAGUGUGGGUAUCAAACAGGAUUAGAUACCCUGGUAGUCCACACAGUAAACGAUGAAUACUCGCUGUUUGCGAUAUACAGUAAGCGGCCAAGCGAAAGCGUUAAGUAUUCCACCUGGGGAGUACGCCGGCAACGGUGAAACUCAAAUGAAUUGACGGGG